rnacentral:rRNA from 1 species
GACGAACGCUGGCGGCGUGCCUAAUACAUGCAAGUCGAACGCAGUGGGGACGGGUGAGUAACAAGUGGGUAACCUCCCAUCAGAGGGGAUAACACUUGGAAACAGGUGCUAAACCGAUACUGAUGGAUGGACCCGCGGUGCAUUAGCUAGUGGGUGAGGUAACGUCUCACCAAGGCCACGCUGCAUAGCCUACCUUAGAGUGUCAUCGGCCACACUGGGCCGUAGAGACGGCCCAGACUCCUACGUGAGUCAGCAGUAGGGAAUCUUCGGCAAUGGACGAAAGUCUGACCGAGCAACGCCGCGUGAGUGAAGAAGGUUUUCGGAUCGUAAAACUCUGUUGUUAGAUAAGCGGUAUCUAACCAGAAAGCCACGGCUAACUACGUGUCAGCAGCCGCGGUAAUUC